GCCACCUUUGAAUACACUCAGAAAAAUGUAAAAAAGCUGUCAAAAGGUUGGUACCUUUUCGAGCGCUACACAUUUGUACCUAAAAGGUCCAUACUGGCACUCUUAAAUGCAUGUUAGUGUAGUACUUUUGAAAAGGUACGACUCCAGUGACAGCGUUUGUAUCUUUUUUCUGAGAGUGUAGAUAAAAGUUGAAGAAACUAAUAUGAUAUGGAUAAAACAAGUUUUUGGAUCUUUUCAACUUUUUUGUUACAAUUUCAAGUUUUUUCCCAGGGUGGGAGAGUUUGGGUGUGGGCUCACAUACUCGCGUGAGAGCAAGUCCUGAUGUAAGUAGCUGUUCAGGGUCUGAUACAGGGAAUGAUUCUGAUUGGUCAGCAGACUGAAGGGCAGAGACAUGAUAAGGAUGGAACAGCCUUUGUGUCAUCAUAUGCAAAUGAGCAACAAGCAUUAAAACUCACGACCAAGGGAGCAGCGUUUACGAUCGCUUAAUGGCAUGGAGACAACAGAUUUGUGAAAACAAAAAGACGGGUAAAGGUGACAGAUGAAAGCAAUUAAGAUGUUUUUUAAACACUUCCUGCAGGAGGACUGAGGACACAGAUCUAAAGACAGGAUAUCAUCGUAUACUGUAAGUUCAUUAUUGAGACACUACAGUAUAGAUGAUGUACUAUCCAGGGGGUCAAUACACCUCCGACUGUUUCCUGUGGACCCAAAACCUUUGUGACAGAGAGGGGCGGUGAAACCGUUACCAUUACUGAGUUUAGUAAUGGUAAGGGUUCUCUUGCCUUCUCUCAAAAAUCAUCUGGACAUGAGAGGACCAAGCAUGAGUCGAGUGAACUUCAGAGCAACGGAUGAAGCAGUCAAAACCAGAAGAGUGAACAGAUGGACAAAAUGUUAAGCAGAUUAAAUCAACUAACAAUGAAAUUCUGAUCAUUCUUAUUCUAUACAACUUUAUAGCCUAUAAUGUGUUAUAUGAGACUGCCAUUGUGAGUAAUUGUAAUAAAUAUCACUGAAUUUGAAAUUAAACAUUUUGCUUGUUUUGUUUCAUUAUCUAUAAUUAUUUUUACAAAACCCUUCAUUUUACACAGAGAGGCAGCAUAUGCGGUUGGUAAAAUGCUUACUUGUGCUACUAGGAGCCAAGGAAAUAAUGGAUGAGAAUCUCUGCUUAAACUUUAAUGAAUUUACAAUUAACUGAUGCAGCCAAUGAAAUAAAAUGAAAAGCCAGUGUAAGGAUAAAAUUAAUGAGAGACAUUCCAUUGCUUUAGGCCAGCUAGAUGUAAGCAUAUAAUACUUCAUGGAGUUCUAGUGCAAAAAGCGCAUCUUAUCACCAUUUUGAAACUCACUUCGGCAGCAGGUUAGCUGCACUCUUCAUUAGAAAGGUUAUCUAACCCUCUAGGGCCUAGGCACUGGAACUUUAAAUGGCUUUUUCCAUGAGUUUUGAAAUUUGAAUUAUUUACGUUUUGAUUUUAAAGAAAACAAACAUAUAUACUUUUUUUUUUAAGAAAUUAAAAAAGUAAUUGUAAAGUAUACUUUGAUUCAUUUCAAAUAAAAGUAAAUCCUGUUCUUUUGGACUUUCUAUUCAUUAAAGAAUCCUGAAAAACAUGUCACAGUUUCCACAAAACUAUUAGGCAGCAC
ensembl:lncRNA